rnacentral:rRNA from 1 species
AUGAUCGAUAGAUUCAUCAUCAAGAAGAUCUUAAGAGCCUUGGAUGGAAAAUAUGAUACCGUGUGCACAUUGAUCCAAAUGAUGCCAAAUUACAAAGAUCUCAAGCCAACGGAAGUCAUCGGAAGAAUUGUUGCUCAUGAGAUGUCACUCAAGGAUAAAGAGGAACUUCACAACAAAUCAAGUGGUGCUUACAAAGCCUCAUGUGAAGCCCCCACAUCAUCGAGUGAGAAACAAAUCUUUAAUGAAGAAUUGAGCUUAAUGGUGAAGAACUUCAACAAGUUCUACAAGAGUAGAAGCAAAGAGAGAAGCUCCAAGUUAAGGUCCUACAAUGACAAAAGAUCUUCUAGUCGAGAGCGAAACUGGUACAACUGUGGAAGGCCCGGACACUAUUCCAAUGAGUGUACGGCCCCCUACAAGAGAAGAGAAGAUUCUCCCAAGAGAAGAAGUAGAAGAGAAGAAUCACCAUCUAGAGAAAGAAGGAGUAGAGAUGAUCGUUAUGAACGAAGACCCUCAUGGAGAAGCAAGGAUUCGGAAAGAAAGGACAAGUCAUCAAGGAGCUACACAAAACGAAGACAUCAAGCUCAUGUUGGUGAAUGGGUAUCCGGCUCCGACUCCGACAACCACUCCGAGAGAAGCUAUCACUCUGAUUCCGAAUAUACUCAAGAUGAAGGUGUUGCCGGUCUAGCACUUGUG